GACCUAGUCGCUUCGGUAAACACAACCCACCUUAACUCGCGUUCCGAUUGCUCGUCGUCACUCGCAAUCGGCCUCCCGCGGCGCACACCGCUCGGCUCGACCCGAACCACGCGCGACCAUCGAACGACCACCAAUCCGCGAUCCGUCUAUUCUGGAGUUAUUCCCCGAUACCACGAUGCUACAAUUUCAUUUUCAUGAUUUUUUGGAAGCUUUCGCCGCAAGCUGCGGCAAUCUGUACCUUAACGGCUUCGUUCUUUAAUAUCUCCGCGUACGCUCGUCGUAUCGCCGAACCGACUUCCCCAACGCGUCAGUAAAUCUAGCAAUUAGGUUUAUACAUGAUCAAUUUAGAUCAAAACUCCUCACAAGAAAAACCCCUCUUUUGAUGCCCUAACAUACAACUAUGCAAGAAUUCAUCAUUUGAUCUCUAAAUUCGA
rnacentral:lncRNA from 1 species